AUUGAACGCUGGCGGCAGGCCUAACACAUGCAAGUCGAGCGGAGUGGCGGACGGGUGAGUAAUGCCUAGGAAUCUGCCUGGUAGUGGGGGAUGACGUCCGGAAAUGGACGCUAAUACCGCAUACUAUCAGAUGAGCCUAGGUCGGAUUAGCUAGUUGGUAGGGUACAGGCCUACCAAGGCGACGAUCCGUAACUGGUCUGAGAGGAUGAUCAGUCACACUGGAACGGAGACACGGUCCAGAAUCCUACGGGAGGCAGCAGUGGGGAAUAUUGGACAAUGGGCGAAAGCCUGAUGCAGCCAUGCCGCGUGUGUGAAGAAGGUCUUCGGAUUGUAAAGCACUUUAAGUUGGGAGGCGUUACCCACAGAAUAAGCAACGGCUAACUUCGUGCCAGCCGCCGCGGUAAUUC
rnacentral:rRNA from 1 species